rnacentral:rRNA from 1 species
UACGUAGGGUGCGAGCGUUAAUCGGAAUUACUGGGCGUAAAGCGUGCGCAGGCGGUUUGGUAAGACAGGCGUGAAAUCCCCGGGCUUAACCUGGGAACUGCGUUUGUGACUGCCAGGCUAGAGUACGGCAGAGGGGGGUGGAAUUCCGCGUGUAGCAGUGAAAUGCGUAGAUAUGCGGAGGAACACCGAUGGCGAAGGCAAUCCCCUGGGCCUGCACUGACGCUCAUGCACGAAAGCGUGGGGAGCAAACAGGAUUAGAUACCCUUGUAGU